rnacentral:lncRNA from 1 species
AAAAGGACAAGAAAUUUAAGUGCAGUUCAUAAACUUUAGGAAAGUAUACGCUCUGGACAAGAAACAUGUAGUUGUUCAGAAUGCAGUGUUCAAUAACCAUAAGAAAAUGUGCCCAAAUCAUUCGUCAUCUGAGAAAUUCAAAGGGCAAGCACAUGAAAAACCAGAAAGGCUAAAUUGAAAAGGACUGACAAUACCAAGUGUGGAUGAAGAUGUGGAGGAAAUGGAACUCUCAUUCACCGUGGAUAGGAGUGCAAACUGAUAGGACCACUUUGGAAAAAUGUUUGAUAGUAUUUAUUAAAGUUAAGUUAUGUUAGAAAUUCCACUCCUGGUCGUAUACACAGUCUAAAUGAAUGCUUAGUCCAUGAAAACACAUGUAUGAAAAUGUUGCUAGUGAUAUUAUUCAUAAUUGACAAAAACUGGAAACAAGCUAAAUGCCCUAAAUGUAAAAUGAAUGAAUAAAUAAAUUGCAAUCUGUUCAUACUACAUAAUAGUGCACAGCAAUGAAAGAAAAUAAACUAGUGAAUAUCAUAGACAAAAUAUUGACUGAAAAUAUCCAGAUACAAAAAAAAGCAUUGAAUGAGGAUAUUUACAUAAAGUACAAGAAUAGGCAAAACUAAUCCAUGAGAUUAUUAGAACCAAGAUGGCGGUUACAUUUGGGGAGUGUUAUCCAUGAAAGCCAGCCCUCUGGGGCGUGAUGGAAAUCUUCCACACCUUGAUCACAGUGGAGGUUACCCAAAUGUAUAGAUAACCACACAUACAAAAAAAUCAUUGAGGGCUGGCCCGGUGGUGCAGCAGUUAAAUUUGCACAUUCCGCUUCAGCGGCCCAGGGUUCGCCAGUUCGGAUCUCGGGUUGGGAUCUAUAAUAGGCCUCUAGAAGGAGCCAAAUAGUAGACAAAGGAGAAAUGUAUGUCUCGUAAUCUCUCUGUCCUCAAGAACCUCCAAGAAGCUUGGAAGCACUGAGUGUGUACCACAGCGCUGCCACUAGAGGGCAUCACUGGAAGCCUCUGCCAGGACCAGCCCAUCAGUGGUGGCUCCUAAUGGCUCCCAAGAGAUAACCUUACCACCACCCAUCUCAGUAGUGACCCACGAGCUUAUAGUUCUCAGCAAGAGCAGCAGAUGGCAUGUCAGCCUGAGGUGGGACAGUGGUGUGGAUCCUUCCAGAGUGGCUUCAGUUGAGCUGCUUCCUUUCCUGGGCCUCACCUUUCU